rnacentral:rRNA from 1 species
AAGUCGAACGUGAAAGCACUUCGGUGUGAGUAGAGUGGCGGACGGGUGAGUAACGCGUGGGGAUCUACCCAGUAGUGGGGGACAACUACCGGAAACGGUAGCUAAUACCGCAUACGCCCUAUGGGGGAAAGGCUUCGGCCGCUAUUGGAUGAGCCCGCGUCAGAUUAGCUAGUUGGUAGGGUAAAGGCCUACCAAGGCAACGAUCUGUAGCUGGUCUGAGAGGACGAACAGCCACACUGGGACUGAGACACGGCCCAGACUCCUACGGGAGGCAGCAGUGGGGAAUAUUGGACAAUGGGCGAAAGCCUGAUCCAGCAAUGCCGCGUGUGUGAAGAAGGCCUGCGGGUUGUAAAGCACUUUCAGUUGGGAAGAUGAUGACGUUACCAACAGAAGAAGCACCGGCUAAAUCCGUGCCAGCAGCCGCGGUAAUACGGAUGGUGCGAGCGUUAAUCGGAAUUACUGGGCGUAAAGCGCGCGUAGGCGGCUAAGUCAGUCAGAAGUAAAAGCCCCGGGCUCAACCUGGGAAUUGCUUUUGAUACUGCUUAGCUAGAGUUUGGUAGAGGAUAGUGGAAUUCCAGGUGUAGCGGUGAAAUGCGUAGAUAUCUGGAGGAACAUCAGUGGCGAAGGCGACUGUCUGGACCAAAACUGACGCUGAGGUGCGAAAGCGUGGGUAGCAAACAGGAUUAGAUACCCUGGUAGUCCACGCCGUAAACGAUGUCAACUAGCCGUCGGGUCUAUUUACAGACUUGGUGGCGAAGCUAACGCGAUAAGUUGACCGCCUGGGGAGUACGGCCGCAAGGUUAAAACUCAAAGGAAUUGACGGGGGCCCGCACAAGCGGUGGAGCAUGUGGUUUAAUUCGAUGCAACGCGAA